AGCCUCAGGGUGGCUCUGCCUGAGGGCCCAGCCGGCCCCGCUCCCGUCCUCUGCUGCAGCUCCUCCGGAGCAACUGCAGCCUCGGUGAUAGCACCUGGAAAAGGGGCACAUCUUGCCAAGGUGUGCCCAAGGGGCAGGUUGGGUUGCUGUGAUGAUGGGUACACAGGGCCCUGCACACGGUAGGUGCUCAGUAAACAACUGCUGAAGGAUGUGCCUUUCCCACGGUCACACGCAAGCAGGUGCUGGCGCAGGGCUCAAACCCAGACCAACCUCGGUGCCCACCCGGUGCCUCCUCCCAGGCAGCCCUGCUGGCUGUGAGGAUGUGGGAGCCCUGGGGAUGGAGGUUUCUACCAACCUCGGUGCCCUCCCUGUGCCUCCUCCCAGGUGGCCCUGCUGGCUGUGAGGAUGUGGGAGCCCUGGGGAUGGAGGUUUCUACCAACCUCGGUACCCUCCCUGUGCCUCCUCCCAGGCGGCCCUGCUGGCUGUGGGGACAGAGGUUUCUACUUGUCCUGCCUCCAUCCCAUUUCCCGUAAGGGAGGAAAUUCUCCGUGGAACUCCCCUGCUGGACUGACACUCCUCCACCGCUCGACACAUUCAGAAUCAGGCUUUCCAGUCGGAGCUGCAAAAGGAGACACAAAAAUCACAGCUCAUUCCAAGAGGUGCCUGCAGCCAGCAGCACCCAGCAGCAUUGUCACCACUGCAAGCAGCCACUGACAGCCGACCUGAGAAUGAACAUGAGGGCCAGGGAGGAGGCAGCUCAGCCUGCAGCGUCAGCAGCGCAGUUCGGCAGAGCCUGCUAAUCGUCUUGCUCAAGUUUCAAACUCUGUUUACCAAAUGACCACAGAAGCGUUUUAACAACAAACACCUCAUUUGAAGGCCAAGAUGAAAAAUUUUACAUAAAAAAUUAAUUUUACUGGUUUACAUUGUUUUUAUACAUUAAAAUGAAUACAUUUACUUAUUUUUUUGAGACAGGGUCUCAUUCUGUCACCCAGGCUGGAGUGCAGUGGCACGAUCAUAGCUCACUGUCGACUCGACCACCUGGACCCAAGCAAUCCUCCCACUUCAGCCUCCCAAGUAGCUGGGACUACAGGUGCUCACUGCCACAUCUAGCUAAUAUUAUUUUUAUUUUUCGUAGAGAUGGGGGUCUCGUUAUGUUGCCCAGGCUGGUCUCCAGCUCCUGGGCUCAAGUGAUCCUCCUGCUUUGGCCUCCCAAAGUGCUGGGAUUAAGGCAUGAGCCACCACGCCCAGCCAAAAUGGACACAUUUACUUAUUGUAAAUUUAGUAAUGGCCACACAGCUCAUAAGUGACGAUGCCAGGCUCAGGACCCAUCUCUGGGUCCUAAUAAAAUAUUUUCUAGCCUCUGUCCUGUCUAACAAUACAGUUGGAAAAAAACUGGGUACAGCUAUGUUUUUAUGUGCCUAAGGGUCAGCAAGAUGUCAGAGAUGACUGUGCAUCGUAUGGAUGGGCUGGCACCGUCUGGAUGAGUAACUGAAUGCAGUCGAGUGAGAUUCAUAAAUUACACCUGCACCAUGGCAAGCUGGACUUUGUCAGGCAAGAGGCUCUUGGACUCCUGCUAUCAGAGAGGAAGGACCAGACAAUUCAAUGACUGCACCUCUUGUCUCACCUCAGCUCUUCCACCUCUCAGACCCUGCCUCUACUCCAGUGCAAUGUCUGUCUCUGUUGGUGAUGCACAACCUACCUGCCUUUACAGCAUUUAGAUGAAGUGGCCUUUUGUUUCCAAGUUGUCAAGCGGGAGACGCAGACAGUGUUUCUUCGAGGCUUGGGGGGUGGUUGUGCGAGAGUGGACGCUAAGUCCGGGCCAACACUGAGUGCUGUAUCCCAGGGACAUAGGAGUCCUGCGUGUGGGUCUGCGACACGUAAGGGCCUCUCAAGCGUGGGGUCUGUGGCAGGUGCCCUCCUGCCUGGGUCUAAGGCCAGUGCCGAUUAUUGUUGUGAAAGCCCCACAUUCCUUUCAGAAGAGGUUUGGCAAUCGACUGCUUUACCAUAGGUGCUGCCUUCAUGAUCCUGAGGUCGUGGGUAAAAAUCUCCACUUUCAACCACAAGGCUGCUUUGAGGAUUGCAACACUUGGGCAGCAGAGGUUUAUGUCCACUGCUGGUUUCUAAGCCAGCCUGUGUCUGUGCUUGCACAGGAAUGGGCAGGAGCUCUGAUUCAUACAGAUAAAAAGCUGCAAAUUAUAAGAGUUUCAGACUGUUCUCUCUGUGGCUGCUGCAACUCACAGAUUUUGGGAGAAGCCUGGGUAUGCUGAGGGCUUACGAAGUCGAGAUGACCUCACACCACAAGGUGACAUGUUGGUGGUUCCAACGUGCUAAUCUCUGAUGCAUCACACUUGUGAAUUGGCCACUUCCAGUGCAGUUACAAAUGAGAUUUUAAGUGAAAGCUUAAUAAGUAUUUUGGAGCUCUGGAAGGCCUGCAGGAUUUGGCUGGUCCCCAAUGCCACUGUGCCAAGCAGAGGCCAGGUUCUGCUGGGGUGCCCCAACUCCUGGUCACAUAGGGAAGUUCCUCCUCCCAGGACGCCAAGGUCUGGCUUCUACCUGCAUGUAGCUUCUCCUUCUGGUCCCAGUGCUUAUCACUGGGGUUUCCAGAACACAUCUCUAAGAGUCGGGCGUGGUGGCUCACACCUGUAAUCCCAGCAUUUUGGGAGGCCAAGGCGGGUGGAUCACUUGAGGUCAGGAGUUCGAGACCAGCCUGGCCAACAUGAUGAAACCCUGGCUCUAUUACAAACACACAAAAAAUUAGCCAGGCAUGGUGGUGUGUGCUUGUAGUCCCAGCUACUCAGGAGGCGGAGGCAGGAGAAUUGCUUGAACCUGGGAGGCAGAGGUUGAAGUGAGCCAAGAUGGCCCCAUUGCACUCCAGCCUGGGCGACAGCGCAGGACUUAGAUAAACCCAGGGCAAAGUGCACUUUGCAUGUCUAGAGGCAAAAUUCUUCAAAGGAUUGCCCAGGGUGUGAGAUGUGUGAUAAUCUGGUGGCUCCUGGACGAAGCAAUAAUCUCAUUUAAUCCUUUUCCAAUUCUUGCUCCUUUAUGAGUCUUUUGAGGACUUUCUGAGUCCUCAAAGAGAAAGUCUGUUUGGUAAUAUACGUUUAAAAAACCUUAACAUUUAUUAAUCCUCCCCCGCCAACCCCGAUUUUUUUGAAGAGAGAAAGCAAAUGUAUCUAACUGAAGUUUAAUGCUGUUUUGUUUUUAUAUUACUUUUUACUUUUAGCUUCUACUUAAUAAAAAAAUCCAGCUUGUAUUGAUGGGAGGGAUAUAAAAAAAUUGCGACAGUGCUCAGCAAAUGACUGGUGUUUGGGACCCGUGGCCUCUAGAUUUAGCGGAGUUUCGAUCUGUGAUCUGGGCUCCAUGCCUGAGACAGAAAGUCAUGCCCUCAGUCAGCCCGACUUGAGACCGAUGUGAAGCGACUGGAGGGGGCCCUCUGGGACAUUUGCAAAUGACCACGCCCCUGCUGUACUGCAAACGACGACUGGGCAAGGAGGAGCUGACCACAGGAGGCUCGGACUGGGAGCCAGAAGAUUCCCCCGGGGAAGCUUCAGAAAGCAGGAAGAGCAGCUGGUUUGGGCAGUCCCAAAUGCCUGCUCUAGCUCUGAGUAUCGUUACCUAAUCCCUGUGAGAGAGUGGGGAGCGGCUGUGCAAGUUCCGAGUGCAGGUAUGCUACCUGUUAGGAUUUUAUUUUUUUAUUUUUAUUUUUUUUUGAGACGUAGUCUCGCUCUGUCGCCAGGCUGGAGUGAGUGGCGCCAUCUCGGCCAACUGCAACCUCCGCCUCCCGGAUUCAAGCGAUUCACCUGUUAGGAAUUUUAACAUUCAGCGCCCAAGCGCAGAGCAGAGGAGGCUGGAGGGGCGCAACACCGCCAUCUCGCGGCGACGGGGUGCACAGCGCUUGCGAGGACCCAGACUGGGAUCCAUCUGUCCCAGAGACUCAUUUUCAGCAUCAAAGUGCGUCCCUGCGCUGUCCGUAAAGAGCCUGCCAUGCGGCAGGUACCGCGCAGGACUCCAGACCUGCCUUAUCUUUUGAGAUCCCCACAGCCCCUGAAGGAAGGGACCACUAAUAUCAACAUUCACAGGACGAAAUCGGAGGUGUCCUUGUGUUCACAGCUGGGCAGCCCACCCAGCUCAAGGGGGGACUUGGGGAACGCUGUCUAGCCUGCGAGAGGUGGAAGUGGGCUCCUGAGAAGGGCGGCCGCGUGUGGCUUCACCGUCCCCUUUUGGGUUUAAAGGGAACUUCCCCGGAUGGAUUAGGUGUCACGGCAGCAGUGUGAGAAUGGAAGCGCCCAAGCCCGUCCCCUCGGCCAGCCCCUUCAGCUCUCUGGGCCUCAGUGUCGUCACCCGUCAAACGGGGACAGGGACCCUCCUUCCCAGUGCAGGGUGGGGUCCGAGUGAGCUAGGGCAAGCCAGCGUUCAGUGCAGGGCAACUGGGGUCUGAGUCCUUGGGGAGCUGGGCUUGGAGAAAGUGAGAUCUCGUGGGCUCUGGGAGGGAGGGCCUGUGCUCUGUUCCCACACAGCACCCCCAGCGGCAGGGCUCCUUGGGGAGGCCAGACCAGGGCCAGGCGUGGCCAGAAAGACCCUGCCUUUAAGGGGCUGUGGAACCCUGGGCAAGGAGUGUACCCAAGUAACCAGCGUGGCCCCAGGCCAGGGGUCCCCUCUGCAAGUGUCACAUUGGAGGGGGCCCUGAUGAUCUUGCAGACCCUGCAGCCACCUCGGGCCAGAAGCGAAGCAGGGUCCCUGCCCUCAGAGAGCGUCUAGUCUAGUGGAGAUACACACAUGAAACUGCCUUGUUUAGAAGCUACCAGGAAGGAGAGGCCCCAGUGAGAAGACGGCAAAUAAAGGGGGACUGUGACCUAGUCAAGCCACCAGGGAAAUCUUCCUGAGGAGAGGACGAUGGAUGAACUUUGGAGGCAGAGUGGGCAUUGCCUGGGAGGCAGGGAGGGGAGAGCGUUUCAAGAAGAGGGAGGAGCAUGUGCCACGCAGGAAGGAGGGAGGACAGGGAGUCCCAGACUGAGGGAGGACAGUGCCAGGAGGGCCUGGAAAAGCAGAGGGGAGGGUCAGGCCACAGCAGGCUUGAGAGGCCACGGAGGGGGCUGUGUGUGACAGGGAGGGUGACGGGGAUGGUGGGAGGUAGGAAAGGAGAGGAGAGAUGGAACCUGAUUUGCAUUUCACAAUGACAACUCUGCCUGCUGGGGUGGAGAAGGAUCUGGAAGAGUCUGGCGUAGGCAGGUGGGCAGAGCACCUGCGAGGUUAGUUAAUGCACAUAAUCAGGAAGGAGACUUUGUAACCUGGGCCAGGGAAAUGAAGAGAACAAGGCCAGUGGUCUGUCCAGGGGCCCGGGGACGGGUGGGAGGUGGGGGUGAGGGGAGCCCCAGGGAUGGCACCCAGGCUUCUGUGUUACACAGUUGGAGGUGGCCUCGCCAGGAAGGAACAGCUGGAGGAGGCCAGGUUUUGGAGGGAGGGCAUCUGCAUUCAGCCUUGGCCGUGCUGAGCCUGAGCUGCUGCUGAGCUAUGCAGGGGAAACACACAGGUAUGGGGUGUCUGUGUCACCAGUGAGGGGACUGUGCAAGUGACUGUCCUAACUGAACACUUCAGAGUGAAAAGAAGCUCUGUUAACAAUGAUGCCACACCAGGGCCCCAGACAGGGCCUGUCCCCGGCAAACAGGGGCACUAGUGCCCUUGCUAUCGGUAGUUAGGAGACAGCAGAGACACGGAUGGGGGUGAGAUCCUUAGAGAAGGAGGGGACUCCCGGAAGCCGAGAGGAAUGGCUGACUAAGAGUGGCGGAGCACAGGUGGGGAUGGCCAAGAGGGUGUGCAUCUGUGCCAGUGCCGGGAGCAUUUGGGAAGUGCAGUGUGGCCCACGGUGGCCCCUGGCCAUUGCUGAGGGGGAACCUGGCUGGAUGUACCCCCUAGGAGGUCACCGGGGGCCUCGGUGAGAGCUGGCAAGGAGAGGUGGCAUCGUGAGCCACACUGGGGUGGAGACUGCAAAUGGCCAGUUCUCUCUGGAGCAGCGCCGCUUAAAUAAACAUGGCUCUGGCAUCUUUGAAGGCAGCUCUCUGGUCUUCUCUCCUGCGAAAGUGCUCAAGGAGGCAGUAACUCACGUUCAGGGGGUGCUGUCUGAGCAGCAGGAGUGAGGGCUGCCUUUCUUCAGUGAACCAAAAAUAUUUGCCAAGCCUCUCCUAUGUGCCAGGCGAUGGAGACAGAUUUACGGCAACAGACGUGAGAGAACAAGCCGGGGGUUCAAGCCUCUGUCACAGACGCACGGGAGCUUCAGAAGCAAGCGCUCCUGCUGGGUGGGAUACGGCCCACUCCAUCUCCCCCGCUCUAGGAACUGCCUGGGCCACUCAUCUCCCCUCGUCAACAUGAAGAGGUGACGCCAGCUGUUCUACUCAACUGCUCCGGAGAGACACCUGCUCUGGGUGCACUCACCACAGGGCCAGAUCCCCCAUCUCCAAACCGGGCCAACCAUCGUUCCCACCACGGCCCGGGCUGAGUCUGGGGUCAUGAGAGGAGGCUGUCUCUGUGGCGGCGGAGCUGUGCACUGCCUGCUUCCUGCACGAGAGCCAGGUCCGGGUUCCUCCUGUCUUCCCGUGGUCUGGCUGCCCCUCGCUGGCCUGGAUUUUAUGCUUUGGUGGGAGCUCAGCUUCUCUCCCUGGCAGCCGAGGGCUCGGACCGAUACGGCCAGCACUGUGCAUGCCCGGGUUUGAGAGAAGCCACCCCAGCCUGGGGUUGUCUUCCACAGACCCCCGCCCCCUUGCCAGAAUGUCAGCACCCUAACACCCCCUGUCCUCAGUCUCUCAGCCCAGCCGGGCUACCUUUCUGACCUAUUCCCCUCCAGGCUUGCCAAAACCUGCGGCCCACUCUGUUCUGCCCACUGCUGGCCUUCUCCUCUCUGGGCCUUUGCGUGGGUCUCCCCACGUACGGUCAGGAGGUGGACCAGUGCGGUGGAAGGAGAGCUGGGUGGUGGUCGGGCCUGGGUUUGAGUCCCAACUCUGCCCUCACCAGCUGCUCAGCCCUCUCCCAGCUCGCCGCCUCAUCGCCUCAUCUCUAAGUGAGGAACACUCGCUCCAGCUUCAGGGCUGGACACGGUGAUCCUCUAGGGAAGGAGGCAGGCUGGAACCAGGAACGUGUACAGAGAAUGCCUGGCCCAGAGCAGAGAAUCUCGUUUCUCUCUGCCUUCCUCAAUGAUCAAGAACUAGCCAGGCGGGAAACGCAAAUGCAAUGUGGAAAUAAACCAAACAAAGGCGA